UUUUCGAAUCUUAACUAUUUGACCAAACUUUGAGGAGAAUCUGAAUCUGAACUUACUUCCGGUCGGCUGGUGAAGCUUUUAUUUCCACCAUAUACUAACUGCAGUAGUGUUGCUUCCGAGAGAGAGAGCUUGUAGAUUUCCAUCUUGAGUUACAUUUUUGGGACUUGUUAUGAUAGAAUUUUCAGAAGAGUAGAGAGUCUAAAUCCCUGAGGCCAUCAUUGAAGAUGGCUGGCAAAAGCAUUCAUUUGAUCUCUUUGGCAAAACCAGCCCAACCUCCACUCCUCCCUCUGAUUUCCUGCACUUUUCAAAGGACAUUAGUCGUCCCCAAUGCAAAUGGUCAGAUUGGAUGGUAAGCGGCAAGCGCGGAAUCACGGAUUGCUACCUUUGACUAUCUUCUUCAGUUACCAUUGUUGAAACCUUCUGCACCCCCAGUUUCUUAGCUGAUGGCACAAAGUUCCAUUAACAUUAACCUCCUCUUGUCAAAACUUUAAGAAGUUACGGAAUUCUGCACCAGGCUAUUAUUCAUUUUGGAUCUCUGGGCGAAUGAUCGCCACUAGACUUACAAUUAUUGUUCUCUUAAGGGAGUCGGAUUGGAUGUCCUGGUACGUACAAGUUAAGCAUUCAACUGUUCAUGAAAUUGAUACUGCCCUCUACUAAAA